rnacentral:rRNA from 1 species
GAUUAACGCUGGCGGCGUGCAUAACACAUGCAAGUCGAACGAUGAAACUCAUUAGAUUUCUUCGGAAUGAAAAUGAAUGGAUUAGUGGCGAACGGGUGAUUAACGCGUGAGUAACCUGCCUUACACAAGGGGAUAGCCUCUGGAAACGGAGAAUAAUACCCUAUGAAACCAGACAAUCGCAUGAUAAUCUGGUCAAAAUGUUUAGUGGUGUAAGAUGGACUUGCGUCUGAUUAGCUAGUUGGUGAGAUAAAAGCUCACAAGGGCAACGAGCGGUAGCCGGUUUGAGGAAGGGUCCGGCCAAUUGGGAAUUGGAACAGGGCCCAAACCCCUACGGGGGGCGGAAGGGGGAAAUUUUGCACACGGGGGAAACCCUGAUGCAGCGACGCCGCGUGAUUUAGAAGGCCUUCGGGUUGUAAAAAUCUUUUGUAUAGGAAGAAAAUGACAGUACUAGACGAAUAAGGUCCGGCUAAUUACGUG